CUACACAUGCAAGUCGAACGGGUAACAGGAAGCAGCUUGCUGCUUCGCUGACGAGUGGCGGACGGGUGAGUAAUGUCUGGGAAACUGCCUGAUGGAGGGGGAUAACUACUGGAAACGGUAGCUAAUACCGCAUAACGUCGCAAGACCAAAGAGGGGGACCUUCGGGCCUCUUGCCAUCGGAUGUGCCCAGAUGGGAUUAGCUAGUAGGUGGGGUAACGGCUCACCUAGGCGACGAUCCCUAGCUGGUCUGAGAGGAUGACCAGCCACACUGGAACUGAGACACGGUCCAGACUCCUACGGGAGGCAGCAGUGGGGAAUAUUGCACAAUGGGCGCAAGCCUGAUGCAGCCAUGCCGCGUGUAUGAAGAAGGCCUUCGGGUUGUAAAGUACUUUCAGCGGGGAGGAAGGCGAUAAGGUUAAUAACCUUGUCGAUUGACGUUACCCGCAGAAGAAGCACCGGCUAACUCCGUGCCAGCAGCCGCGGUAAUACGGAGGGUGCAAGCGUUAAUCGGAAUUACUGGGCGUAAAGCGCACGCAGGCGGUCUGUCAAGUCGGAUGUGAAAUCCCCGGGCUCAACCUGGGAACUGCAUUCGAAACUGGCAGGCUAGAGUCUUGUAGAGGGGGGUGGAAUUCCAGGUGGUAGCGGUGAAAUGCGUAGAGAUCUGGAGGAAUA
rnacentral:rRNA from 1 species